rnacentral:tRNA from 1 species
GCUCCCAUGACGUAGUGGUCAUUGCGCUCGCCUUGCACGCGAAAGACCCGGGGUUCGAUUCCCGGCGGGGUCA